GGUGGUUAGAAUAAGUAAAAUUUCAGUUAGAAAGAUAUAGCUUACCAGUUUUCCAUGUGCUUAAGGAAGUCAAGAAUAUUUCAGGUUGUUGAGAACUGUUGUAAAAUGGAAUUGAAGCUAGUGUCUCUCACCUUCUUAGGUGUAUCAGAGAGAGGAAGUGGAAGGCCAGUAGUAGCAUCUUCAUACUUACUUUUGCCAGCCCAGCCUCCAUUUCAAAGACUUUGUCUUCCAUCCUAUCCAAUGACAUGGUCAGGGAUGGGCUCUGAGGAGGCAGUGAGGCCCCACCUUGGUUUGCUCCACUGUGGUGUGUAGUCUCCAAACAGCUUAAGGGUUUUUAAGUUUUCUCACGAUUACCUCCACUCCACUCAUCUACUAUCAGCAUCAGAAAGGUUAACAUCCCUGGGACCAUUCUACUUAUAAAAGAGAUGAACUAGUGUGCUUUCUCCCCUUUUCCAGGUGUGCCAUCCAUAUACAAUCUCCUCUUGGCCAAGUUCAACAAAUGUUUCCAGGGAACCCCGUGGGUUGAGGCAAAGUAGCCAAGAUGUAUUGAGUUAAGUUUUUCUAGAGGACAAAAGUAUUUCUUGUCCCUUUUCCCUCAUGCUCAUAUGUUUUAGCUGAGGCGUAAAUGGCCAAGUUGAGUAAUAUCUGUGGAACUGAGACAGAGAGCCAGGGACCCAUGUACCCAGGGACCAGUCCCCUGGGGAAUCACACAGUGGCUCAGACUAGACUGCUCUAUCCCACCAGAACUCUGCUGCUGUUCAUUUCCAUCAGGACCACCCAGGAAAGCAAAUAAGUUAGCCUUCUCAUCAUUAGGUCACCUAAUCUCUUGGGUUGCAGGAUGAGAGCAUAUAUAGAUCUCCUGUUUAGAGAGUGUGUUCAUAAUUGUAGAAAGGGAUAGAAAAUGGAAUAACCAAGAGGCUGUGUCAUUUUUUAAGAGGAUGGCAAGGAUGACCUCAAAUGAGCUCAACAAAACUGGGAAUCCAAGGAAUGGUGCUUGUAGGGAAAGAGAGGUCAGUUGUGGUCCUUAAACCUCUUGGCACCUUGUGCGGGUUAUAAAACAAGGAGCUGGAGUAAAAUUGCCCUUACCCCCAAUCCAAAUGCUGUCCAGGAUUUAGGAGCUACCCAACCUGUGGUUAUAUGGUGUUGGUUUCCAUUUUUUGUUUGUUUGCUUGUUUCCAAAAUAGCCUUGCUUGGUACUGCAUGGAAAGUUCAAGCUUUUCUUCUUGCCCGCUCAGGGCUGGCCUCUUCCCCGUGUCUUCACAGCGUCCCUAAGGAAGAUUUUUGCAGCACUCUCUGGAGCUGAGGGGAGUGAAAUUUGGUCCAGAGAAGGCGGAAGGAAAUAGUUUUCCUGUUUCCUUUUCUCGAGGUGGAUGUCCUCAGGCUUCCUUCACACCUCCUUCUCAUGGGUGCGGCUGGCAGUACAGUCAGGCUGUGGAGGAGGGCUGAGAAGAAAGGGGCACUGGUCCAGCCCCAGGUUUGGUCUGAGACAGGUACACAGCAGAUACCAUCCCACCUUCCUCUCUAAAGAACAGGCCAGCCACACAUAUAACCCUUUCCCUACUUUACUAAUGUAUCCCUUAUGUGGUACCAGCAAUGGAGGACAGGCAGACUUACCCCCUGCCAUCUAGAGAGAAUGUUGUUAUUACCCGUAAAACUUGACCACCCCCAUAUCCCACUCCUUUUUGUAAAAACAAAUGCUUAAACCUGUGAGCCUGCCGUUCCUUUCUAUGUGUUAAUCAGUUUCCUUCCAUUUGAGCUGUGUGGGAGGGAAGGGCAUUGAAAUUGUAGGUUGUAAUCUUGCGGCGGCGUCGGCGGCCUGUGCAGCAAUGGCCAAGAUCAAGGCUCGAGAUCUUCGCGGGAAGAAGGAGGAGCUGCUGAAACAGCUGGACGACCUGAAGGUGGAGCUGUCCCAGCUGCGCGUCGCCAAAGUGACAGGCGGUGCGGCCUCCAAGCUCUCUAAGAUCCGAGUCGUCCGCAAAUCCAUUGCCUGUGUUCUCACUGUUAUUAACUAGACUCAGAAAGAAAACCUCAGGAAAUUCUACAAGGGCA
rnacentral:lncRNA from 10 species